rnacentral:lncRNA from 1 species
UUGCUCCCAUUUCUUUGCUCUGAUCGAAAGCUCUUUAGACCGUCAACAUUAAUACAACAAUCUCGUUAUAAAGCCUACCAGUCGUCUUACCACGCUAACCAUUAAUGUUAUCAGCUCUCACUAUACUUGCACCCUUUGUUGUCUACAUCUUCAUAUACCUCGUGUAUUACUUACUUAAAGGCUAACGAAACAGUUACCUCUUAAAAUUAUUGUCUAAAACUCAUUUCACCUUUACGAUAUUUGUUGUCGUUAAAUAUCUAUAUUUAUUGUGAACACCUAAGCUACUCAUUUUCAUCAUCAUUUUCGACUUAUCAUGCUAACAGCCUUUGCAACUUUGAAAAUCUUUAAGUUAGGGGCCAACGUAACUAACAAAAAGAUACCAUAGCAUAAAAUGGGGGAGUCUUUAUUCAUACCCUCCAUUGCCCAUACAUAUGUGUCAAUGUGGGAAGCUUAGGGGAACUUAGUUUACUACAUCAUAACAAAAGAAGGUCGCCCCAGAUCUGACCAUUACAAAAGAAACACAACCACUCCACUCACCCCUACAUACUUAGUUUUCGUCUUAAGCUUCAGAUAGGCAUCUUACACGUGACCUUGUUAUGGUCCGUUCCUCCACACCUGCUGCAGGUCCUGCGGCGCUUGAAACCACCAGUCAUCUGCAAGUAGACAAUGAUUUUCUCGCUAACUGGUUAUCUAAACUCCACGACUUCCCGUAAUUGGUAAAUGUAAACGGAACAUAAUAAUGAUACCAACCUUGAACUCCCCACGAGAUGGGAUUCUUGCCUUCCUUGGCCUACCAGGGGGCCGGCGAGUUGUUGGAGGAAGGAGGUGUGAUGUGCCGCAGUCCACGGAUCAUUACAUGGAACCGGCUCAGCAUGGAGUUCAGGACGUUCUGAACAUUUCAACCGAGGUUCAUGUUUUUCAUCAUGCCAGACUUGAGAAAGAUCAUGCCAGACUUGAGAAAGAUCAUGCUAGACUUGACGUGGAUCAUGCCAGACUUGAUGAGGAUCAUGCCAGACUUGACUUGGAUCAUGCCAGACUUGACGUGGAUCAUGCCAGACUUGACUUGGAUCAUGCCAGACUUGACUUGGGUGGUGAAGAAACUGAAGACGGACAUGUAUUCUCAUCCGGCGGACCAUCCGGACAGUCCCGCAAGCGUCCUUAUCGUUACCCCGUGCAUCUAUCUGGUUCGGAUGAACCUAGACAUCUUGACAAGUCUUCUCCAUAUUCCGUGCCUUGACCAGAUCUAGUCUUCUCCAUUUUCCGUGUCUUGACUAGAUCUAGUCAAAUUUGUAUUUUCUAUGCAUUGUUUUCCCACAUUUUCUUUAAUUGUCUUUGACUACAAAAUACUAUAAAUAUGUAGUCCAUUUCAUCAAUAAAAUCAGUUCAGUUCAGUUUUGGUUGUUUAUUUGUUUCUUCUCUGAGAGAGAGAGAGAGAGAGAGUUCUUUAGCUAGUUCAUUGGUGUGAACCGGCUUGUUGAUUUGGUGGUCAGCCAAUUCAUCUUUGUGUGUUGUUUGGUGGUUAGCCAACACAUUCAUUCUUUCUUUGGUGGUUAGCCUUAGAUCGAAAAAUCCUCUGAAAGAGAAGCUUUACUGGAACGAACUUAUGGGGUCUUUGAAGCUCUGUACUAUCGACAUUGCUAUCGACAUGCUGAAGAAGAAGGUUGUAAAAGGCACUGAGGCGAGGAUCAAGUUUGCGUGCCUUGCAAUCACAUCGUCGAUUCUGUUUCCUUCUUCACACACACCACGGAUCAUGCCGGAGCAUGUUGAAAUGAUACGAGAUUUAGAUGAGUUUCUCGAAUUCCCUUGGGGCAGAGCUUCUUUCCACACGCUGGUUACUUCACUGAUUUCGAAGGAUGAAAUCGCAUUAUCGUAAGCGUCUGUUGCGAUCUGUGGGUACAUUGAUGCGAUUCAGCUGGUCCUAUUGGUUGCCAUUCCACAACUGAAAAAAGAGAUCACACCGUCGGAGCCAAUUGUCAUCGAGGAUUCCGAGAGCGAGGGCGAGUCCCCUGAAGAACAUGCACCGUCUGAGGAGGAAAACGUUGUGCCGCAGGAGAAACCAUCGCCGGCGACGAAGUACUGUCUCAUUCCCGGACAUGCCAAGAGCAUAGAUACCGAUUGCCAGGUAGUAAAUAACUCACACACCAUUUGGUUACCUGUUAUUUUCACCCGUUACUCGUUAACUUAAAUGAUAAAUGCUGAUAUAUCACCACCGCUGUUAACGUCGUAAAUAUCAAUUUCACUGUUACCUCAUCAAGAAUAUCAUAACACAUCUAAUUAUCGGGUAAACUUUUUCUUACCAACUAACGUUUACUUUUACUCUAGGUGCGUGUGAAGUGUAUCCUAAAUGAACCGUUCGAGGAGUGGUCAGCUGGACUAGACUUCCUGUGGGUCGAUGAGUCUUAUGACCUGGCUGUUGAGAACAUGGUCCAUCUGAUUUAUGAGGGUUUUGCCUUCUGCAAGGAAAUGUUCAAAGGUGGUCUUACCGCAAAUGAUCUUGCUCGUCUGAGGGCAGAGAAGAAACUGAAGGAGAAAGAACCAAAAGAAAAAAGCGACAAGGAUCAUCAUGCGGAGGCCCCAGACUGUGAGGGUUCCGACUCUCAAACCCAUAUUUUAAUAGCAAAUUUGGUUGCCUCGCAGCUUGGUGAGAAGAUCAGAUCCCCAUCCUCUGAUAUACGGGGUGAAAUUAGCUUCUUGGAGAAGCGUAUUUAUCAAGCUCUCGACGCCAAGCUCGAGAAAAUUGUGGCGUCAACUAUUCAAUCCCAGCAGCUAGCUUUCAUCCAGACCACCAUCUCACAAUCCCUUCAAGACAUUGAUAAUAAGGUCGUUGACACUCUCGUAUGCCAACUGAAGAUUAUGGAAGCUUCACUGCUCAAGGGUUUAUCUCAAGUCAUUGGCCAGCCCAGCUCCAGUCUUGAUGUUCCUGGUGAGGAUACGAGUUUUGAAAAGUUUUACCAGCCUGGACAGUUGUCAGACACCAGGGUUCCAUCUGUCAACGGCAGUAUUCCACUCGCGCCUGACAAUAUUAUCUCAGCAGAAGCUGCUGAUUUUCGUAUUAGCGCGGUUCUUCGUGAUCUGAACACGGUCCCUGAUCGCUUGACCCAGGAAAGCACAUAUGUUGUCGCUCGGAGACAAUCAAUUGAGGGGAAAUUGCCCGAUGGUGAGGAUAAUCAUGUAUCUAAACCAGUAAGAUAUCUAUUUACAGCUAACUAUAUUUGGUCAUUCUAUUAAAUUUGGUAUUCUCAUUUCUCUCCACCCCUUUUUUUGAUAAUCAUUGUCUAGGACACCCUUCGGUCCUCAAAGGCCGUAGAACUCCCUGCUCAAAAGACAGUCGAACAAGUGGGUGACAUUUCCUUAAUUGAGGAGCCACCAGUAGCAACCAACAUGAAUACAGAACAUGUAAGUUUAUAACUUAGCAACUAAACAUAUUGUUAUCAACUAACAAACGUUUGUCUUUCUCGCAGUCUGAGGAACCCGUAGAGCCUAACCAAAAUCCGGAGAUGGUAAAUUAAUUAUUUACUCUUCUCAACCUACUUUGAUGUCGUAUAUGAUUGCUUACACUCCCAUUGUACGUAGGAAUAUGAUCAAUCACUGGGAGCUCAACCUAUGGUUGUCGAUGAGCCUGUGUCGCAAGAAGUUGAGAUUGAAGAGGUAAUCUUCUUCCUCUGUCAGUAUCGUUCAAAGCCAUCUAUAACUCACUAUUCUCGCUCUUUACAUUUUCUCUGAUCCGCAAUGUAUGGUCACACACAAUCAGAUGCACAUUCCUUUUUAUCUACUCGAAAUGCCGUCUUUCUCACUCGGACUAUCGCAGGAGGAUGCUGUUGUUGGCAAGGAGAUGCGCAACCCUAUUAGCGACGCUUCCCCACCUAAGGAACAGGAGCUAGAGGUUCUGGAGCAGCGCAAGAGCAAAAGGCCUAGGUCAAGACCUGUUGGCCUCCAAGACUACAAGUACGAUCCGAAAGUAACUGCUGGUUUAUGCAUCAUCCCCGAUCUCGACCACCGUUUUAAGCUUAUGGAGGAGACGCUACUUAAGGAGUCGUAAGUAAACUAUACCCGUCCCGUUUACUGUUAAAACAUUUUGUAACUUACAAUAAAUUAUUUAAUUAUAAACGUAUAUCUUUACAGGGGAAUAAACCUUCUUAACGACUUUUCUGUCACUCCUACCGAGUUUUGUGAUAUUGGAUAUCACAUGACCAUUUUACCAACGGGGGUAAGACUCACUCCUCAAAGUCUAUAGUUUUUUGCACAUAUACUUACUUGUUUCCUCUGCUUUAGGUCAUGGAUGCCCUGAUCUGUUUCGUGUCUCGUGGCCUAGCGUCCGGUUCCAACGUUUAGAUUUACGACACCACCCUUCCUGUAGCUUUAAUGAACCACCCCUCUCGCUUCCAGAAGACCGCAGUUAAAGAUCGCGCAAAGCUGAAGUUUACUGAUGUCCAGCUUGUGAAACCCUUUGUGAAAUCGCCCGAGAGGAUUUAUUUCCCAUUCAACUUGGACAGACAACACUGGGUUAAAGUUUGCAUUGAUACGAAAGCAUGCACUGUAUUUGUGCUGGACUGCAACACAUCCUUUCGAAGUGACAACUUACUGAAGAAAGAGCUUAACCCUAUUUCUACCCUCAUCCCAUACGUUCUUAAGUACAUUGGCUAUAUGGAAACCAUCCCCGGUGCAAAGGCCUUUACGGUGUCGCGGUGCAAGGGAAUACCACAAAUCUCUACUCAGUCUGAUGCAGGAGUCAUGGCUGUGCUGUUGAUCGAAGCUCACGUGGCGGAGGGUCUGGGUGGUUGCAAGUCUAUCACUCCUCGUCUGCUUCCGGAGGCAUCCAAGCAAUUGGCCGUUAAAUUAUUCGAGUCCAUCUCUAUGUAACCUUGUUUCUAGCUCCCAACCUCUACAAUAAAGGCGAUGUUCCAAGCUUACCUGUUCUGUUUUUAAUUAGUUUUUAUGUAACUCUCAACUCUCUAUCGUAUUUGCAUUUUUUUUUUCUUGUUGGAUACUAAACAUUUUAAGGCUUUAACAUUUAUGUUACGUCGUAAACACUACCGAUAUCUUUGCUUUGCUACAAUCUUUUAGCCCUUCCUAAUUUCAUUCAGUCACUAUAUAAUCUAAUUUAACAUGUUAAUUUAGACUUGCUCCCAUUUCUUUGCUCUGAUCGAAAGCUCUUUAGACCGUCAACAUUAAUACAACAAUCUCGUUAUAAAGCCUACCAGUCGUCUUACCACGCUAACCAUUAAUGUUAUCAGCUCUCACUAUACUUGCACCCUUUGUUGUCUACAUCUUCAUAUACCUCGUGUAUUACUUACUUAAAGGCUAACGAAACAGUUACCUCUUAAAAUUAUUGUCUAAAACUCAUUUCACCUUUACGAUAUUUGUUGUCGUUAAAUAUCUAUAUUUAUUGUGAACACCUAAGCUACUCAUUUUCAUCAUCAUUUUCGACUUAUCAUGCUAACAGCCUUUGCAACUUUGAAAAUCUUUAAGUUAGGGGCCAACGUAACUAACAAAAAGAUACCAUAGCAUAAAAUGGGGGAGUCUUUAUUCAUACCCUCCAUUGCCCAUACAUAUGUGUCAAUGUGGGAAGCUUAGGGGAACUUAGUUUACUACAUCAUAACAAAAGAAGGUCGCCCCAGAUCUGACCAUUACAAAAGAAACACAACCACUCCACU